rnacentral:rRNA from 1 species
AACGAACGCUGGCGGCAUGCCUAACACAUGCAAGUCGAACGAUGCCUUCGGGCAUAGUGGCGCACGGGUGCGUAACGCGUGGGAAUCUGCCUUUCGGUUCGGAAUAACUCAGGGAAACUUGAGCUAAUACCGGAUAACGUCGCAAGACCAAAGAUUUAUCACCGAAAGAUGAGCCCGCGUAGGAUUAGCUAGUUGGUGAGGUAAAGGCUCACCAAGGCGACGAUCCUUAGCUGGUCUGAGAGGAUGAUCAGCCACACUGGGACUGAGACACGGCCCAGACUCCUACGGGAGGCAGUAGUGGGGAAUAUUGGACAAUGGGCGAAAGCCUGAUCCAGCAAUGCCGCGUGAGUGAUGAAGGCCUUAGGGUUGUAAAGCUCUUUUACCCGGGAAGAUAAUGACGGUACCGGGAGAAUAAGCCCCGGCUAACUCCGUG